CCUANGGGUGGCAGCAGUCGGGAAUUUUGGGCAAUGGGCGAAAGCCUGACCCAGCAACGCCGCGUGAAGGAUGAAAUCCCUCGGGAUGUAAACUUCGCAAGAACGGGAAGAAUAAGUAGGGGACAAUACCCCCUAUGAUGACGGUACCGUUUGUAAGCUCCGGCUAACUCCGUGCCAGCAGCCGCGGUAAUACGGGGGGAGCAAGCGUUGUUCGGAUUUACUGGGCGUAAAGAGUUCGUAGGCGGUCGGGAUUAAUUAGAUGUGAAAGCCUCCGGCUUACCCGGAGAAUGGCAUCUAAUAUUACCCGACUUGAGUGUGAAAGAGGAGAGUGGAAUUGUAGGUGGAGCGGUGAAAUGCGUAGAUAUCUACAGGAACACCGGAGGCGAAGGCGACUCUCUGGUUCACAACUGACGCUGAGGAACGAAAGCUAGGGGAUCAAACAGGAUUAGAUACCCGUNUAGUC
rnacentral:rRNA from 1 species